AAGCAACCUUUAGAGAGUGCUGGAUGCACUGGAGAGCAUGACAUGGACACUUUCACAAAACAGCAGUCUGGAAAAACUUGCCAAGGGUGAUUAUCAUGUUGUUAUGACCUGUGGAUACAACCAUAAACUUAUUGAACACCAGCUGCAACCUCAAGUACCUCCCAAUUCAUCUCACAGCAGUACAUUGCCAUGGGCCUUACCAUGAGCGUUCAACUGAAGAUUAGGGUGGACCAGAAGCAUGCACUUACAUCAGCUUGAGCUUGGUACUUGUACAGAGUCUGGGAGAUGACCUUGAGGGAAAUAGGCAAGAACUACUGCCUAGGCAAUGAGAGGGCUAAAACAUUCCUUAAGUCCUGGGAAGCAAGAUAGUAUUCGGAAGAGACUCAGACAGACUCUUCCCUGAUUCACUGGGUUAUAAGAAGGAGGGGAGGUAAAGCACAAUUAGGCUGCAAUAUUCUGUCACUAUAGACUAUCUCAAUAAAGUAUAGUUCUAAUCUUC